rnacentral:lncRNA from 1 species
CCGCGCGCGCGGCGCUGCCGCCUGACGUGACGUGCCUGCGCCGUGCGAAUAUGCGGGCGGGCGAUGCUGGCCGGAGAAGAGCGAGCCAGGAAAUCUCUAGAACUAUGGGUGGCUCCGCUCCGUCCCUUGCUGGGCUGGCUGCUCCGGCUUUGCUUCCGGCUCUGUUGGACCAAUAGCUGAUGAUGAUGAUGCAGGCCUAGGCCUUGGCUAGCUUGGUCCUCUUUGCUGCUACUACUACUUUCUGUUUUUCUUUUAUGGCCUCUUCUCCUUUGAAAGAUUUCCGAGGAGCUGAACUAUUUUCUCUAAAAUUUUCAUAAAAUUUCUAUGUUCCGAGGAGGGUCUUACCCAUUUUCAUUUUCUUUUACUCAUUUCUGCAAGAAUCGUACACCCUCCAUUUUCUUUACUAUUGGACAUUUACGUUUGGC